UGGACAGAUUAUUGUAUUCGACUGUAUACACAGCGUGAAAUAGGGGAUUACACUGUUUUUAUAAUGGAAAGUGAAUCAAUUAACAUAAUAGACUCCU
rnacentral:pre_miRNA from 1 species